GUCCCUGUAGCGUAAUGAAUAGCGCAUUGGACGUCUAAUCCAAAGGUCGAGAGUUCUAAUCCCACCUGGGACG